rnacentral:rRNA from 1 species
AAAGUGCCUAAAAGUACGUUCAUCAGACACCACAAAAGGUGUUGAUUCAUCUUGACAGUUGGACAGUGGCCAUGGAAGUCGGAAUCUGCUAAGGAGUGUGUAACAACUCACCAACCGAAUGAAUUAGCCCUGAAAAUGGAUGGCGCUUAAAACGUAUUACUUAUACUUUACCAUUAGAAUAAAUGCUAAAAUUUUAAUGAGUAGGAGGGCGUAUGGAUAAUUUUAGAAGAUUAACAGUGAUGUUGAUUGGAAUUAUCUUUAGUGCAGAUCUUGGUGGUAGUAGCAAAUAUUCAAUAGAGAACAUUGAAGACUGAAGUGGAGAAAGGUUUCACAUGAACAACACUUGGAUGUGAGUUAGUCGAUCCUAAACGGUGGGUUAACUCCAAAUACAUGAAUACUUGUAUUCUGUACCGUGAAAGGGAAACAGGUUAAUAUUCCUGUACUAUGUCAAGGAG